rnacentral:tRNA from 1 species
GAGGGUAUAGCUCAGUGAUAGAGUGCCUGCUUAGCAGGUACAAGGUCCUGGGUUCAAUCCCCAGUACCUCCA